GUGAAUCAUCGAAUCUUUGAACGCAUCUUGCGCUCCUUGGUAUUCCGAGGAGCAUGCCUGUUUGAGUGUCAUUAAUUUCUCAACCUCACCAGCUUUUGUUGGUUCUGAGGCUUGGAUGUGGGGGUUUGCUGGCUUCUAACGAGGUCGGCUCCUCUGAAAUGCAUUAGCGGUGCCCUGGUGGACCCGACUAUCAGUGUGAUAAUUAUCUACGCUGUUGGACGACCACGCCUUCAAGGGGUUGUACUGCUUCUAACCGUCCGUUCUGGACAAUACGAUGACAAUUUUGACCUCAAAUCAGGU
rnacentral:misc_RNA from 1 species